UACGAAGGGGGCUAGCGUUGCUCGGAAUUACUGGGCGUAAAGGGCGCGUAGGCGGCGAUCCGAGUCAGAUGUGAAAGUCCUGGGCUUAACCUGGGGACUGCAUUUGAUACUGGAUUGCUUGAAUUCGGGAGAGGAUAGCGGAAUUCCCAGUGUAGAGGUGAAAUUCGUAGAUAUUGGGAAGAACACCGGUGGCGAAGGCGGCUAUCUGGACCGACAUUGACGCUGAGGCGCGAAAGCGUGGGGAGCAAACAGG
rnacentral:rRNA from 1 species